rnacentral:rRNA from 1 species
UACGGGGGGGGUAAGCGUUGUUCGGAAUUACUGGGCGUAAAGGGCUCGUAGGCGGCCAACUAAGUCAGACGUGAAAUCCCUCAGCUUAACUGGGGAACUGCGUCUGAUACUGGAUGGCUUGGAUUUGGGAGAGGAAUGCGGAAUUCCAGGUGUAGCGGUGAAAUGCGUAGAUAUCUGGAGGAACACCGGUGGCGAAGGCGGCAUCCUGGACCGGUAUUGACGCUGAGGAGCGAAAGCCAGGGGAGCAAACGGG